CCUACGGGGGGCUGCAGUGGGGAAUAUUGGGCAAUGGGCGCAAGCCUGACCCAGCAACGCCGCGUGAAGGAAGAAGGCCUUCGGGUCGUAAACUUCUUUUAAGAGGGAAGAGCAGAAGACGGUACCUCUUGAAUAAGUCACGGCUAACUACGUGCCAGCAGCCGCGGUAAUACGUAGGUGGCAAGCGUUGUCCGGAUUUACUGGGUGUAAAGCGCCCGUAGGCGGUAUGUUAAGUCAAGGGUGAAAUCCCCGGGCUCAACGUGGGAACUGCCUUUGAAACUGGCAAACUGGAGUGUGUGAGAGGAUAGUGGAAUUCCAGGUGUAGGAGUGAAAUCCGUAGAUAUCUGGAGGAACAUCAGUGGCGAAGGCGACUAUCUGGCACAUAACUGACGCUGAGGAGCGAAAGCGUGGGUAGCAAACAGGAUUAGAUACCCUAGUAGUC
rnacentral:rRNA from 1 species